UGCAGCGCUUUUUGUUUUGUUUUGUUUUGUUUUUAAAACAUCAGAAGAGGAUAAAUGAAGAUAAGUGGCUGACUCAGGCAUUCUGAAAUUUGUGCUGAAGCUUUCUGUUGUAGCCCGUCAUUACUCUGUGGACUUGUGAAGCAAGAAAAUAUGGAAGUAUUAAGUGAAGAUGCCAUUGAAACAAACUGUUCAGUUAUAAGGGCUGAAAAAAACAGCUUGUUUUUAUUGGCCCUUACACAUUUUUAUUUUGCUGCUCACUUCUCGUUAUACAUGGCAUAGCUCUCCAGAGAGCGAAAACAGACAUAUGGAGAGCCUACCGACCUGUGCCUAGUACUUAGACUUUGCACAUGCAUUACUAUGCUACAUGGAUUUAUUAUACACUAAUAAAUAAUAUAGUAUCUUAUGUUCAUAUAGCACCUUUCUAUUCCCAAAGAUUCCAAAGCACUUUGAAAACAGCAGGACUUAAUUGUCUUCUCACUUUGCUUUUAUGCACCUUUGACAUCAGGGGGAUUACUCUUGAUUUACACUAAAAAUAUACAAGAACUACUAUCUUCCCUCUGGAGCACAGCUAAGAGGAACCAUGGCAAUUAUGAAAGAUCACUUUGAAACACAAGAAGCCAUUUAUGACAGAGAACAAAAAUGAACUUUUUUGGCUUAACAGACAACAGAAUGCUGCAGAAAAGCAGAAUACCACAAGCCACAGCCGCAAUUUGGUUGGGAGUCCAUGGAUCAGGAACACCUCUUAGAGUCUGAAGUGGCCAACCUUGGUUUAACAUUUCACAGGAAAGAGGGCACUUUUGUAACAGUGCUGGAAUAUCAGUUUGGUGCUUACAGUUGUUCACAGCCAACUUGUAUUCACAGGAAUUUCACGGAAAUUGUCCCUCCCCUGUGGGUAAUGCCUACAUGAGGGGUAGACUUGGCAUGCAUAUAGUUCAUUUCUAGCAAGAGAUAAGUCCCUGUAAAACGGUCUUUGAAAACAAUAUUCUAAUUUUUCCUUGAUUUGUGAAGGAUGUAUGAUCUAAAAUGUAUAGUAGUGAGAGCGGUGUCCUGUAAAGAGUACGGUACAUGGUACAGUACUGAGAUCAGUGUCCCCAGUUGGACUCUACUGACGAGUGAACAUUUUUGAUCAAAACAUUAAAAAAAAAAAGCAGAUUUUUAUUUUCACAAAAGCCAAUGCUUCAAAAGUCCGAACUAUUCAGUCCAUGCAGAAUUAUUCAUUAGAGAAAAAAUCAGAAUAUUCUGAUGUUUUAAAAUGCUUUACUGUUUUGAAAUUUUCUUUAAAGUAAUUUUGGGGGAGUUUUCACUUAAUAUUUUAAAUGGCGCAGUGAAAACAGCAUUCAACCAAAACAGGAAAAAAAAUUCUAAUUGCACCUUCAUUUUUUUGGUUUUUUCAGGCCACUUAAGAAUCAAACACUUUCACUUUGAUUAGAAACAUUUUUAUUUUUUAAUUCCUUAUGAGCUAAAAAAAAUCCAUAAUUGCCUAUCUUUAAUGAUGAAAUAUUAUUUUUGUUAUUCUGUUUUGAUGUUUGACUGCCAGAGCGAGGAGGAACUAAUUUCUUUCUCUUUCUACCAGCUCAGCUUUGGCCAAGGCACAAACGGAACGGAGAACUGGUUGUAGCCAAGGGGUCUGUGGACAAAGGCCACCGCUUCAGUGCUUUGCAGCUGGGGCUCUGCCCUCUGCAUCCUGGGUACUUACAUCUGGGAUAAGAAAAGAGUGAGAAUGAGAUGGAAGGUUCAGGGUCUACGGUUGGCUUCUGAAUUGUGUUUCCCAUCGCCUCAGUCCUGCUGUGCAGCUUUCAGGGUUUUGGUUUUGUUUCCUGAACAUGGAAACACAGGCAGAGUGACACCAAUGUUUAAAAAUGGAUAGAGCUGCUAAGGGCAAAUGGGGUAACAGCGUUCCUGUGGGAUGGUCCUGCAUUUCCCAGCUUGUGCAGUUCGGGGUUUGAGCGAUAUUUGUCCCUGAGAGUCUCAUUCAAUCAUAAGCUUAGUUUAGUACAAGUGCGAGCUCGAGAAAACCUAUUAUUCUGCUAUUAAUAAAGGGCAUAGAUGUUUUCACAGGGCUGCCAUGGUUGGACCUGCCGUCUCCCCCGCCGAGGGCUGGUAGCAAUUACUGGGUGAGGGAACGUGUUCAGCGGGGCUGCGCUGACCGCGGCGCGGGACUCCUUGUGUCCCUGGGCACAGGGAGCCCUCGUUUCAGCUAAGGCCACAUCUGUGUUUUGGGCAAUGCUGGUGUCUUGCCCCAUAUCAAAAGAUGACCUGAGGCCAGCCGCUCUCGGGUGCAAGAUGGAAGUAGUGCUUCAAGAGAGAAAUAAAGCAAGGACGAGGAAGCAGCAAUAAACCAGGCCUGUUGUGCAAGCAAGCAGUUGCCUUCCCAGGGGAAUCUCCCAGGCCUCCUGACGUGCGAGGUGCUUCCCAUCGGUCACUGCUACCUGGGCUGCUACUGCAAUAAAAGUGCCCUCGCGAUGGCUGGAUGGGAAGGCCAGGAGCUCCUGGCUGGGAUUUCCAAGGAGAAGACUUUAUUCUGGGCAUUAAGGAUUGCUUCUCACUGCCAGCUUUCCAAACGGCUCAAGAACUUGAAAAGUGAUGAUUCUUCACAAGGAAAGGGAUGCUCUUCUCAACUGAAUAAUUCUUGAACCUAUGGAGCUGCACAUUUUAUGUCACAUGUGUGCACAAUAUUCAGAGGAGUGACCUGGAACAGGAAAGAAAUCUGUCUGCCAGAGCCUCCGUGAGAGACGGCUCCAAACCCCAGGUCAGCGCUGGUCGGGCAUCUUCUUCAAGCUGGUUCUCUGAUGCUGUGAGAGCAGGACGAUGUGCAGGCCCUUUACUGCCAAGAGGACACGGCUGAAAGAAGUGGGAGUCUGGAACAUGGUGCUCAUGGUAAUAUGGACUAAUAAGUGCAGCAGGCAGCCUGGAAUUUGGCCUGUUAACUUCAUAGUUUUACGCAAUGGAGCUGGAGCUAAAGAUUGGUGAAGUUUGUGCAUAGGGAGCAGAGCAAAGCAUAAACUCAACAAGGCGUAUUCUACCCGUGCUCUCUACGGCAAGAAAAUGUACUUGCGUGGGUUCGUGUGAGGCUAGUCUUCCUCAAGUCUCCUUGUUCGCAGUGCUUGGUAAGGAGGACUGGACCCGCUCUGUUGCAACGACGGAUGUACCCAGCCUGAAAACCAGUGCUUCUCUUGCACACUCCCAGCAGGUUGCAUUGGAGGAAUUGCAUUAAGGGCUGGCUAAAUUUGGGGCCGAAGGAAAUCUUCUUGGCUGUGCUCCACUGCCCUGCGUCAGGGACAAAUCCCCCUUGCACCAGACCUCCCCCUUGCUCCAUCCGAUGUCCCACGGAGGGCACAGGACACCCGGGGCCAGCAGCUGGGACAGCGUGAGGAGGAGGAAGGAAGCUUCGCCCAGGAUGCAAUUGUCACUGCAGUUGGAAGCCAAUCAACGCGUUGUGAGUGGGAGCCCGCUGGUACUUUCCAAUGGUCCUUGAUUAAAAAGGAAGCUCUUGGCUAUCUUCAAGCAGCAGGAGAGGAAACAGCACAGAUGAAGCAGAGAGGCUAUGAUUGAGAUGUCACACCGUGGCUGGGACACUACAAGACCCAUUAGACCUCUGUGGCAGCUCCUCUCAGAAUGGUGGCAAGGAGUGAAUGCUGUACAGAUGACUGUGGAGUGGAAGCAGCGUGCAUAAACAAACAAGGAGAUGGGAGGCAUUUUUCUCCUUAAUGUCGUCUUGAGUCAUUCUGGAGCUGCCUAUUUAUCGCCAGUCUGUAACCAUUAUCUCUCCAUGGACCAUGACUUUCAUUUCCUGUAAGAUCUGAAUUACUCAGUCUGGGAUCGAGCUGAAAGUAUUUAAAGGCAGAAGCAUAAUGACUGUUUCACUUGGAAGAAGCAAUGGCUCUGUGUAGUGUAUCCCGUCUAACCUUCUUCUGAGCUCCAGCAAUGGUCUGAUGGGCUGCUCGGUGCUCCAGGCUGGUUCCCACACCUCUGCAGUCAGCCCUCGCUCUGCCAUCAUCAGCAUGCGUUCAGAAGAGCCAUUCCAGCCUAUGGAAUAACUGAGACAUUCAUAAACUCUGCCCUGAGACCUGAAAAGAUACCCAGGCCAGAACGCGAUCUACAGAGCCACUGAGCUGCAAUCUGCUGGCCUCACUAAGGAGAGCACACAGGUAUUCAGCAGUCUCAGCUUUCUGUGACAAGAUGUCGUCAAGGCAGACAUACAGCAUGAGAAGCUUUAACCAACCGCAAGGCCUCUUCAGUCUCUAAGCUCUGGACUUUUCAGACAGCUGGAAAGAUGAGGAGGAAGCCCAUCUUCACCAGGUUCAGUGGAGACUAACAGUGCUGAAGGAUGCUAUCAGGGAAAAUCAGCUCCUGUUCAAACACAAGACACCAUGAGAAGUCCCUGCUUUCUCAAGUGACUGCACAAGGUGGAAGUAGGCAGGACACUUCAUCUCUGUCUUCUGCCAUUGCAUCUCCUGGGAAGGCAUCUUGCUGAGGCCCUGCAGGGCAAGUUCCACCUUUCCUCAGGAGCUGCUGUGCCGUCUGCUUGCUGCGUAUCUUCAGGCUGAAAUGGAGGAACAUCCAUAGAGAUGAUUCUUUCUGUUGUUGUGGUGGCAAGAGUAAUGACAAUGCACAGGUCGUUUGGUUCUCUGCCCACAUUACAGGUGGAAUAUGAACUAAUAACCGGUGAGGCUGAUACAAGUUACAGCCCUGGAGCAGUGAUCUGGUUCACGCACCUUUGGAUAAAUUAGGCCCUGUCUACACUGAUGUUAAAGCUCCAGAAGAUGCUAAACCAAUGAAGUUAUUUCAAGCCCUUCCUGUUGAGUCACUGCUCUGCACGAGACUAUUUCUUGCCCUCCUGCAGCUAACCUCUUACUCACCUCCUAUACUUGGCUUUAAAGGAGCAGGCUGUAAAGUUGAGUGGAAAGAGCUCUCCAUCUGCCCUAGGUCACCAUGCCCCUGAUGGCCUGAAUUUUGCUCGAUUCUUGUAAAAAUAACAGAUGAUGUAUCCUUGCUACAAAAGCCAAGCUCGCGUUAAAUUUCAGUGCUCAGUUCCAAGGUACCAGAAAUGUUUUACCUAGAUAAAAUACAUAUAUAUUUGUCCAGAAAUACUCAGAUAAGCAAUAGAGCUUUCAGCCUAUAGCCUGGUAUAGUUCUGGGUCACUGAAAAGAACUGUAGAAGUAUAAGCAUGAGGCAAUUAUAAUAAUAAACAGAGCUAUUCCAAAAGUCAGCAUGUGUGCUUCAGUAAAUGUACUGAAUUCUUAAUUAUUAAAACCAGAAAUGAGCUAGGUAUGUAUGCAUAUUACGUAACUAUGUAGCCACAUUAUUACAUAUAAACCCACUUUCUUAACUGCCAUAUACAGUAGUUGCAUCCUAAAAUUUUGUGGGUGGUUUGAAACAAAAUACUGAAGAUUAAUACAGUUUUGAACUACCUAAUUACUUUCUGUGUAACUUAGUUUAGCUUUAUGCAGCUGCAAUAAAUGUGUAUCUUGAUGAUAUGGUUAAUAUUACAUUAAAUUGUACCAUUCUCCACUGUGCUGAAAUAUAUUCUAGCAUUUUUCCAGAAUGUAAGAUGACAGAGAUAAAUUACAAAACUAUUAAAUGUCAAUUAACGUCUUUGCAAACUGAAUCUGAAAUGAACCUGUUAAAACUACCUUGUUAUAUGUCACUUAUAUGUAUAAAUGCUGGUUAAAUGUUUAAUGAACGCA